UACGUAGGUGACGAGCGUUAUCCGGAAUUACUGGGCGUAAAGCGCACGCAGGUGGUUUUGCAAGUCUGGCGUGAAAUCUCCUGGCUUAACCAGGAGCGGUCGCUGGAAACGGCAAGACUUGAGGCGAUGAGAGGGGUGCAGAAUUCCCGGUGUAGUGGUGGAAUGCGUAGAUAUCGGGGGGAAUACCAGUGGCGAAGGCGGCACCCUGGCAUCGAGCUGACGCUCAUGUGCGAAAGCGUGGGGAGUGAAC
rnacentral:rRNA from 1 species